ensembl:rRNA 5S_rRNA 5S ribosomal RNA
GCUUACGGCCAUACCACCCUGAGCACGCCCAAUCUCGUCUGAUCUCGAAAGUCAAGCACGGUCGGGCCUAGUUAGUACUUGGAUAGGAGACCGCCUGGGAAUACCAGUUGCUGUAAGCU